rnacentral:lncRNA from 1 species
UUAAAUUAGAACAAGAUGAAAGCCUAAUGUAAUUCCCUAUUCAGGGAAGUUUGUACUUGAGUUGGAGGAAGAGAGAGUAGAUCUUUAGAGUUAAACCAACUUGAGUUUGACUCCCAGCUAUUUCUGCUGCUUACUAGCUCUGUGUCUGAAAGCAAGUUACCUACCUUCUCUGAGCCUCAUGCUACCUAACUACAAGGAGGAUAAUGAUCAUCCAUUACAUUAUGAUGAAGGUGAAAUGUGAUAACAUAGUUAUGCUUACAGAGACCCACUGUGUGCCAGGCAUUCUUCAUAAGGUUUUCUGUCUGUGUAUUGACUACCUCAUCCUCAGGACAACCAAACAAGAGAGAUACUGUUAUUUUCCUUUUCUAUAUUUGACAUAUGAAGAAACUAAACUCCAGAGAUAUAUCAAGGAACUUGCUUAGGGUCUCAUAGCCAGGCAGGCUCCCUACCUCUUCUUGAAAUAGUAGCAUCCUCUCUUUUUCAUUAGGGAAUUCUUUAAAAUACAAGCAUUCUCAAGGUCCAAAGAAAUAUCUUUUCUAGUGGUGGGCUUUUGGAUGUGGUGACAGGAUAGUA